GAUGAAGAACGUAGUGAAAUGCGAUAAGUAAUGUGAAUUGCAGAAUUCAGUGAAUCAUCGAGUCUUUGAACGCACAUUGCGCCCCCUGGUAUUCCGGGGGGCAUGCCUGUCCGAGCGUCAUUGCUGCCCUCAAGCACGGCUUGUGUGUUGGGCCCCCGUCCCCGGUUUCCCCCGGGGACGGGCCCGAAAGGCAGCGGCGGCACCGCGUCCGGUCCUCGAGCGUAUGGGGCUUUGUCACCCGCUCUGUAGGCCCGGCCGGCGCCAGCCGACACCCAACUUUAUUUCUAAGGUUGACCUCGGAUCAGGUAGGGAUACCCGCUGAACUUAAGCAUAUCAAUAAACGGAGGA
rnacentral:misc_RNA from 1 species